GACGAACGCUGGCGGCGUGCUUAACACAUGCAAGUCGAACGGAAAGGCCUGCUUUCCCUUGUGGAUUGCGGGUACUCGAGUGGCGAACGGGUGAGUAACACGUGAGUGAUCUGCCCCCAACUUGGGUAUAAGCCUGGGAAACUGGGUCUAAUUCCCGAUAGGACUGCAGGGUGGUGCCUGUGGUGGAAAACGAUUUUCUAGUGGUUGGGGAUGAGCUCGCGGCCUAUCAGCUUGUUGGUGGGGUAAUGGCCUACCAAGGCGGCGACGGGUAGCCGGCCUGAGGGGGUGGACGGCCACAUUGGGACUGAGAUACGGCCCAGACUCCUACGGGAGGCAGCAGUGGGGAAUAUUGCACAAUGGGCGGAAGCCUGAUGCAGCGACGCCGCGUGGGGGAUGACGGCCUUCGGGUUGUAAACUCCUUUCGACCGCGAGGAAGCCACCUGGUUGGAAGGGUGGUGACGGUAGUGGUAGAAGAAGCACCGACUAACUACGUG
rnacentral:rRNA from 1 species